AAGUCGUAACAAGGUUUCCGUAGGUGAACCUGCGGAAGGAUCAUUACCAAAGUUUAAUCCAAAACACUUAACCCAUGUGCACGAUGGCCAUUGUCUGUCAUUGGGGCGAGAUUCGAAUGACACUUGUUCGUUUUACUUGCCCCACAUUUGUUCAACCCUUUUAAUGAUAUUUUGGCAAUUAUUGUCUUUAAAUAACAAUGGACAACUUUUAACGGUGGAUCUCUUGGCUCGUG
rnacentral:misc_RNA from 1 species